AAGUUUAGACUUAAGAUCGAUCUAACAAAUCCUCGUACAAUUUUGGAAUAAAUAGUGUGAUUAUUUUAGAACUAGAAUAUCCCAGAACCCGGUGUCACAAGUGCAUGAGCAUUUAGUAAGGCAUACAAUAAUAAUACAACAUAUGUCUGAAAUGUAAAUAAGACAGGAUAAAGUAAGUAAUACGAUGAAGACUCUGAGGGCUGCGAUACGUAGCCUGGAAUUUGCAUAUCACCAUGAAGUCCCCUCAACAGUUGCGCCUACGCGCCAAGGUGACCACCAAAUAAACCUGCCAGAUCAUACACAUUUAGUGCAAAAGUGCAGCAUGAGUACAUAAAUCAACAUGUACCCAGUAAGUAUCUAGCCUAGUCCCGAAAAAGUAGUGACGAGGGGUCGACAUCGACAUUUACUAGAGGUCCAAUAAAAUAAUAUGAUAAAUCUUAAGCAGGUGUGAAGCACAACAGCAAUAAUGGGAUAAAACCGUAGCCAAAAUAUUCUUUUAAAAUUUCUUUUAACAAUAUAACUUCUCAAUUCGUAUCCUAUCUCAACAUCUCGGAAAAUGUCAAGUGUAAGUAUCAAAUGAAUAAGGAAAACCAUAAACGUCAGUGGAAAGAUAAUCUCAUGAAUAUUCGGACUUCCAGCGAUAUAACGUACGAUUAUACCGAGGUCGUUCGGCCCGAUCCAGAAUAAUGUGCCGAGGGUCGAGCGGCACGAACCAUAAAUGCAUCUAUUAUACUGCCGAGGCAUUUGGCCCGUUCCAGAAGAAAGGAGGAAAAUCAUCUAAUUACGAGACACGUGCUUAUAGCACAGUACAUGAGCAUAAAGUGAAUAUAACCUUCACCGUUUUUCAAAUAAUUUUGCCAACAACUCAAUGGGAUAAGACUCGGCAUAAUAUAUAAGUAUUUCUAAAUCAAUUUCAAUUAUAAUUCUAAUUAGUUAAGCCAGCAGAAUGAGUUCAAAUAAUUCAAAUAUUACACGAUAAAGUCUUAAGUCUACCAGACAUAAAUAUGCCGUAGCUACGUACGGACUCUCGUCACUUCAUGCGUACGUAACACCCACAAGAUGCUACCUUUAUAGUAACAAAUAACAUCAUUCGCAACAUUGACUCGCAAAAAUGCUUAGAUUACAUCUGAAUGAUAAGAAAUUUGUGAAAUAAUAGUGAAAUUGAAUGAAUACAGAAUAGCUUCAUCGAAGCAGCUACUAAUCAAUUCAUGAGUUAGCAAAUGUAAUGUGUGUACAAGCAUCUUUUUCCUUUUAUUUUAAUUCAAAUCAUUAAGGCAACGUUUCCAAUAUAACCAAAAAAAAAAAAAAAAGGAAGCGGUCAAGUGACGAACUAAUUAGAUAAUUCCAGGAUAUAUUCAGGUAAUAAAACCAAGUUUUCUUUCCAUCCCCAAAUUCGAUCUAACCAAAAAAAAAGUUAUUCACCUUUAUUUGAUCCGGGAAAUUAAUUAUAUACCGCAAUAGAAAACUUAUUAGAAAACAAUCAACCAACAACAAUAGCACCGAUAUUCAUGACUUUGAAAAAAAAAUCACAUGCAUAUUAAUUAAAAGAGGAAGAAUAGGAGACCUUAAAUAGGUACAAAAGUAAAGGAAUAUCACCGCAAACUAUGGAAUGCCGACGGAAUCAAGCCAAGCCAACUAUGAGAGACAUCCUGCAAAAAAGACUAGAAAUCUAUCAUUAAAUCAUCUAACAUUUCUAUAUUCACUUUGAUUUAAAAUAGUGAGAAAAAAAAAAGAGAAAGAGGGAAAAAGCAAAAUCAAUAUUGUGCAUAAAGUUAUAAUUAGUGAUUCAGUACCUCCAAAGUUAAUACAAUAAACACUCACCUUUCUCAAGGGAGGACACUUCUGAAUGAUGUAGGACAUCCUUUGCCACUUUUGAGUAGUGAUGCUUCAUCACAAUUUUGUAUUGGCAUCUUUAGAACAUUGAAUAAAAUACAUAACUUAGAGAAUAAUCUAGGGUUUAAAAUUGAGAAUAAUCGACAAAUUGGUGCUCCCUGUACGUAGCUACAGAGAGGAGAAGGGAUAGAAGGAAAGAGAGAGGAGAUACAGUGAAGACAGGAAACUGAGAAGUGAGACCCAAAUAGUGUUGUUUUGCAUAAUACGCGUGGUUUCCUCAAGACAUACCAGUACACGUGUUGAGAGAAGAAAGACAAAAAUUCAAGGGUCCAAGUCUAUAGUACAAUUAACAAAACUUCUUGUACAGCUGAUUAUAGCUGUGUUCG
rnacentral:lncRNA from 1 species